GUGCCGACCUCCUCUGCGCCCCUGCACUCUGCGAUGCUGGGAGGGGCUUUCGGCCUCUGAAACCCUGUCCUGUCCCAGAGCAGGGGCGACGCCUCAGCCCAGGAGAGCCGCGGGGCCUGUCGGGUUUGUGCCGGGAGCUGGGGCUCCCCGCGGCGCUGCCUCCCCACGUGCUCCGGGGACGCCUGUCCUUGCACGCUGGGAGCCUGGAAGGAAGAUGCGCGGAGUUGGCGUCACCGGGAGGGGACUGUUGCAAUCCCGAGAGGCGUUUCCUCAGGCCGCGAGGCGAUUGGGAGCCCAGGAAGCCCGCGAGGACAGCCAGCGGCUGGGCAGGUCACGCUUGAGCGGGCUUCUUCAGUGACAUUCGGCCUUGGGUGCUGCCCUGAGCCCAGCAGCAGCCAGGGCCGCCCAGGCCCCCACCCGGGAGGCGGCUCAGCGUCCGGGCAGGAAUCAGAGGGCAGCGCGGGUGCCGUCAACGCCGGGAGCCACAGGCGCAGGUGUGGCCGGGCCGCCGGGUGGUGUCACCACGAGCCUUAACGCCACCGAAAUUCAGCACGAGGGCUGUGGAACCCGGGCAGCACAUCCUCCGGAAGAGUUCUCGGGAGCUCCGGUGGCCUCGAGGCCCGGCCCCCACCCCCAGGACCCGCCUGCCCACCGGGGCCCCUCGACCUCCUGCACCCCAACCGGUGCUGGCGUGAGAGGCGCCCCUCAGGGCCUUCCUCGUGGGCUUCCUGGGGCCCCGGGGUCCUCCUGGGAGGCAGGCCUGGCUCCCCUCCCCCCGCCCUGCGCCCCGGGGUGUUCCUCCCACGGUGGGUCCUCCGGAGGCGCUGAGCUCGGGCCCCAGGGAGGGGCCCACGGCGAGACCCGCGGCACCAGUGGCACCAGCCCCCACCCCGGCCGCCCUCCUAACCCCAGCCUGCGUGUCUGAGCGCGGCCCUCCUGGGUCACCCCAUGCGCGUCUCUCUGGAGCUCCGGGGACCAAGAUGCUUUGCCCACCGAGGCCAGGGAGCAAAGGGAUGUCUAGGACCCCAGACCCUUCCCCGGAGCACUGCCCGCCCCCCAUGCCUCCCCCCGUCAGCCUGAGGCACCCCUUCCAGGUGGGGAGGGAGACGCCUGGGGGUACCUGGAGGUGGCCUCCUCGGAGUCUGGGCACGGCCCCUAAACUGCGGAAGGGCUCAGGAGCUACGUCAGGGAUUCACCUGCGGUGACCUCUAGCACUCCGUCCGCCGCACGAGCCAGUGUCCUCAUCCAAAAUCAGGGCCACGGUGACCGGGGAGCCCAGGGCUGCCAGGGACACAGGGGCCUCCUCUGCAGUGUCUCUGGCCCCUGUCAUGCUCCUCGGGCCCCCAGGACUCAGACUUCCAGGGAUGUGAGGCCCCACAAGCCUGAGCGAGAUGCCCAGGCCAGGACGACUCAGCUCCGCCUUCUCUGAGACGACCCACAUCCAAGCCAGGUCGGGCUGGCCAAGAGGACGCUGCUCAGGGCGGGUGGGGACGUGCGGGUCCGCUGGGGCUGGGCGGCCGCCACGUGCCUGCACCCAAGCCGCCGCACCCACUGCUGCAAAAUCCUGCCAUGCUCACAUCUCCAGGGCUUCCGGGUGCCAUCGGGUGGAUGGUGUCCUCCCCAGAUAGAUGUUCUAGUCCCGGGGAAUGUGACCGCCGUCCGGGACUGGUGUCCUCACAAGGGGAGGGAGUUUGGGCACAGGCCGGCUCUCGCGGGAAAAGGCCCAGAUCCCCCGGCGGCUGCACAGACUGGCCCCCGCCCCGCAGACGCCCGACCUGUCCCACGGCCCUUCCACGGCUGACCGUCGCUGAGGGCUUCGUGGGCAUCUGUUCCCCUAAAGGCGGCCACUUUCUAGAGGGGGGCUGGGUGUGGAUGCCGCGGAGGAGCUGAAUGGGUAGAUUCUUCUGGGCCCGGGCCCAGAUCCAGGCCGCACGCCCCCCACGGGCUCUGUCUGGGGCCGGGCUGUGGGUGCCCGCCCUCGCCUGCAUCUCUGCCAGCGACGGCCACCAGCCCCCGCACCCUGGUGCUUUCCAACACCCAGUGGGCUCUGCUCUUCCGGGGCCUUCUCCCGGGAAAAUGAAUGCAGUGCCUCCCUGGAUGCACUUUCACAGCAGAGGUUAAGGCAAAGGUGUUCAGGCCCCCCCCUCCCGGGAGCUCUGUGGGUGGGCGUCUGCCUUCGGCUCAGGGUGUGACCCCGGCGUCCCGGGAUCGAGUCCCGCAUCCCUGCAGGGAGCCUGCUUCUCCCUCCGCCUGUGUCUCUACCUCUCUCUGUGU